rnacentral:rRNA from 1 species
UAAAGAAUUUCGGUAUGGGAUGGGGAUGCGUUCCAUUAGUUAGUUGGCGGGGUAACGGCCCACCAAGACAACGAUGGAUAGGGGUUCUGAGAGGAAGGUCCCCCACAUUGGAACUGAGACACGGUCCAAACUCCUACGGGAGGCAGCAGUGAGGAAUAUUGGUCAAUGGACGAGAGUCUGAACCAGCCAAGUAGCGUGAAGGAUGACUGCCCUAUGGGUUGUAAACUUCUUUUAUAUGGGAAUAAAACGUUCCACGUGUGGGAUUUUGUAUGUACCAUAUGAAUAAGGAUCGGCUAACUCCGUGCCAGCAGCCGCGGUAAUACGGAGGAUCCGAGCGUUAUCCGGAUUUAUUGGGUUUAAAGGGAGCGUAGGUGGAUUGUUAAGUCAGUUGUGAAAGUUUGCGGCUCAACCGUAAAAUUGCAGUUGAAACUGGCAGUCUUGAGUACAGUAGAGGUGGGCGGAAUUCGUGGUGUAGCGGUGAAAUGCUUAGAUAUCACGAAGAACUCCGAUUGCGAAGGCAGCUCACUGGACUGCAACUGACACUGAGGCUCGAAAGUGUGGGUAUCAAACAGGAUUAGAUACCCUGGUAGUCCACACAGUAAACGAUGAAUACUCGCUGUUUGCGAUAUACAGCAAG